rnacentral:rRNA from 1 species
UACGGAGGAUGCAAGCGUUAUCCGGAUUUAUUGGGUUUAAAGGGUGCGUAGGCGGAAAAUUAAGUCAGUAAUGAAAUCCUGCAGCUUAACUGUAGCAUUGUUAUUGAUACUGGUUUUCUUGAAUGCAGUUGAGGCAGGCGGAAUGUGUAAUGUAGCGGUGAAAUGCUUAGAUAUUACACAGAAUACCGAUUGCGAAGGCAGCUUGCUAAACUGUGAUUGACGCUGAGGCACGAAAGCGUGGGUAGCAAACAGGAUUAGAUACCCCUGUA